rnacentral:rRNA from 1 species
UCCAUAGGUUAAUGAGGCGAACCGGGGGAACUGAAACAUCUAAGUACCCCGAGGAAAAGAAAUCAACCGAGAUUCCCCCAGUAGCGGCGAGCGAACGGGGAGGAGCCCAGAGCCUGAAUCAGCAUGUGUGUUAGUGGAAGCGUCUGGAAAGGCGCGCGAUACAGGGUGACAGCCCCGUACACAAAAGCGCAUGUGCUGUGAGCUCGAUGAGUAGGGCGGGACACGUGGUAUCCUGUCUGAAUAUGGGGGGACCAUCCUCCAAGGCUAAAUACUCCUGACUGACCGAUAGUGAACCAGUACCGUGAGGGAAAGGCGAAAAGAACCCCGGCGAGGGGAGUGAAAAAGAACCUGAAACCGUGUACGUACAAGCAGUGGGAGCCCCACCACCAAAGCAUUCUCUGG